UCUACGUUUCAGCCCGAGAAGCACGAGUGUGUAUCUCGCGAGCAGUACCGCAAGCACCGUGGAGCUCGCCUCAGCAACCUGGGCUCGGGAAACUACUCGGCGUGCGUGCGAGCCACGUCUCUGGCGGGCAACGGCUCCUGGACGGAAAGCGUUUCCUUCUACGUGCCUCCGCCCAAACGAGACAGUGGCGUGGCGCUGUAUCUGAUCAUCAUCAUUCCCAUCAUUGUGAUUCUCUUCAUCGCCGGACUCACCACCAUCCUCUUC